rnacentral:rRNA from 1 species
CCCUUCGAUGUUCGGAGCUGCACGCGCGCUACACUGUGGGUGGCAGCAUGUUAGCUUGCCUCGCUCGCAAGAGUGGGGUAAUCGUUUGAAAAUCCCACGUGAUUGGGAUAGGGACUUGUAAUUAUUUCCCUUGAACGAGGAAUCCCUAGUAAGUGCAGGUCAUCAGCUUGCGCUGAUUACGUCCCUGCCCUUUGUACACACCGCCCGUCGCACCUACCGAUUGAAUGGUCCGGUGAAGCCUCCGGAUUGGCGCGCACCUCGGUGCCGCCGAGAAGUUGGCUAAACCUUACCAUUUAGAGGAAGGUGAANUCGUANCA